AAAACCCAAUAAGCUCAUUCUCAAAAUCCCGAGCUACCACCUGUUUGACAAAAGGACUCCUCCAUUUCAACCACUAGAUUCACAAACACACCCAUAUCUAUAUACCUCAAACGGAGGUGAUUGAGGAUUGAAGAGCUUGAGAUUUCCGUUCAAUUUUUCCGUCGCCGUUCAGAGCUCCGGUGUCAAUUAGAAACCCCCUUAUUCAAUACUGUAGCAGGUUCCUAUUAAAGCUAAGUCACCAAGGUGAAAGAUGGCUGCUAAUGUCCAAAAAUUCCGAACACUAGCAAUCUCUAUGAAUCACUGUCUCGAGUCAAGAUUGCUCUUGCAUCAUUAUCGCCUCUUGCACCAUGGUCCAGACACUGUGGAGGAACUAUUGGAUAGACACGUGGUAAAAAAGGAGAAGAGCCUAGAUGAUGACGAGAAUGAGCGCCUAACUAGACAGCGACUCACUAGUUCUCGUCGCGAGGCUCUAAGUCUCUACCGAGACAUCCUCCGGGGCACCCGGUUCUUCAUGUGGCCCAACUCUCAAGGCAUCCUUUGGCGGGAUGUUCUCAGAGAAAAUGCCCGAAAGGAGUUUGAGGAGGCACGAUUCGAAAGAGAUCCAGAAGUCAUCACCAGAUUGCUUAUUGGAGGUCAUGAUGCUGUGCAAGCUGCUUUGGAUAAGGUUGUCGAGAAACAAAAGCAAGAAAUUGAAAAGCAACGUCGUAAUUCAAAUACUCCUUGAUAUUCUGUUAGCAGAGCUAAAUUGAGAAUGUAGGGUGAUAUUUGACACGGAGAAAGCUUUAGUUUUUUGUGUAUGGAGUAUAUGGCUUUCCUCAUGAGAUGGAGAACUAGAAUGGAAGUCAAGCUUGGAUGUAAGGAUAAUAUUGAGAUGUUAUGCAAUGUACAGUGAGAGUUCAAGAACAUUAGCAAGUGUAGCUGGAUGGAGAUAUACAAUGUAAUCUUUGUAAUUUUAUCAAGUUUGAUUAAUCUUUUCGCCUUCAAUGUACUUGUGCAUUCCUUGAAUGAGAAACUCUUGAAGAAUUCUGGAACUUGGUUGGAUA